AUUGAACGCUGGCGGCAUGCCUUACACAUGCAAGUCGAACGGCAGCACAGGUGCUUGCACCUGGUGGCGAGUGGCGAACGGGUGAGUAAUAUAUCGGAACGUACCUUAUUGUGGGGGAUAACGCAGCGAAAGCUGUGCUAAUACCGCAUAAUCCCUAAGGGGGAAAGCGGGGGACCGUAAGGCCUCGCGCAAUUAGAGCGGCCGAUACCUGAUUAGCUAGUUGGUGAGGUAAAGGCUCACCAAGGCAACGAUCAGUAGCUGGUCUGAGAGGACGAUCAGCCACACUGGGACUGAGAAACGGCCCAGACUCCUACGGGAGGCAGCAGUGGGGAAUUUUGGACAAUGGGGGCAACCCUAAUCCAGCAAUGCCGCGUGAGUGAAGGAGGCCUUCGGGUUGUAAAGCUCUUUUGUCAGGGAAGAAACAGCAGCUCUAACACAGUUUGCGAAUGACGGUACCUGAAGAAUAAGCACCGGCUAACUACGUGCCAGCAGCCGCCGCCG
rnacentral:rRNA from 1 species